GAUGAACGCUAGCUACAGGCUUAACACAUGCAAGUCGAGGGACCGGCGCACGGGUGAGUAACACGUAUCCAACCUUCCCUUUACUCGGGGAUAGCCUUUCGAAAGAAAGAUUAAUACCCGAUAUAAAGGAUGGGGAUGGGUUCGAUUAGGUGGUUGGUGAGGGAACGGCUAACCAAGCCUUCGAUGGAUAGGGGUGCGGAGAGGAAGGUCCACCACGACUGAACUGAGGCACGGUCCAAACUGCUACGGGAGGCAGCGGUGAGUAAUAUUGGUCAAUGGGCGCUAGCCUGAACCAGCCAAGUAGCGUGAAGGAGGAAGGCUUAUGGGUCGUAAACUUCUUUUAUAUAAGAAUAUGUAUUAUAUGAAUAAGGAUCGGCUAACUCCGUGCCAGCAGCCGCGGUAAUUC
rnacentral:rRNA from 1 species